UACGGAGGAUCCGAGCGUUAUCCGGAUUUAUUGGGUUUAAAGGGUGCGCAGGCGGGAGAUUAAGUCGGCGGUGAAAUUUUGCAGCUCAACUGUAAAAGUGCCUUCGAAACUGGUUUCCUUGAGUGUAGAUGAAGUAGGCGGAAUUUGUGGUGUAGCGGUGAAAUGCAUAGAUAUUGGGAAGAAUACCAGUAGCGAAGGCGACUUACUGGCCUCUAACUGACGCUGAUGAACGAAAGCGUGGGUAGCAAACAGGAUUAGAUACCCGGGUAGUCCCUGA
rnacentral:rRNA from 1 species